rnacentral:rRNA from 1 species
UACGUAGGGGGCAAGCGUUGUCCGGAUUUAUUGGGCGUAAAGAGCGUGUAGGCGGCUAGGUAGGUGGGUUGUGAAAACUGGAGGCUCAACCUUCAGACGUCGACCCAAACCCCCUGGCUAGAGUCCGGGAGAGGAGAGUGGAAUUCCUGGUGUAGCGGUGAAAUGCGCAGAUAUCAGGAAGAACACCCGUGGCGAAAGCGGCUCUCUGGAACGGUACUGACGCUGAGACGCGAAAGCGUGGGGAGCGAACAGG